GUGCCUCGGAGAGGGGAGGGGGCGCGCCAGGCAAGGAGUGGAAAAAAAUGGGCGAGGAGGAGCGUUGAAAAUACCGUGACAAGUAGUUUCCGUGCGCCCGAGAGCGUGUGAAUUGCUCCUAAUUACCGUGUCCGAUCCUCCUGGACGCAGGACGUGCAUCCGUCUGUCAGUCCUUCCCCGCAGGAGACAAGGUCGCUGGGGACCCCCAGGAACAGUUUUAACUUGCGCCUUACUCUUCUCUGUCCUGACGUCAUGGCCCUGAGGACCCGCUCCGACUGCAGAGGAGCCAGGCCACCUGCAGUUUCCGCACUUGGGUCUUGAUGAACUUGCGGGAGCCAAGGGACCAGCCACGAGGACUCAGGAACACGGAUCCCGCCAAGGUACACCUCUGCUGAGGCUGGGGCUUUGGAGUGAGAACGUCAGGCCAAGACCAUCCACCCCAACCCGGAUUCGCGACUGGCCCCUGGCCCCUUCCUCCAUGCCCACACCCAGGGAGUCGAGGUGGGAUCUAGGCUGAGGCUGGGCCUGGGGACCGAAGGCGCGACGGGAGUCCGAGGCUCCGGUGGGGGCAGGGAGGCCAGAGCGAGGAUUCUGUGGAGCUGAGAAGUAAAGGGCCGGGGCGCCAACGGGGGACCCGGGAGGCGUUGACUUUUGCGCUGUUUGCCCGCGGCCUCCAAGCAAGCAGACGCCAUCUGUUUGCCGGCUGCGACGCAUCCCGUUUAAUUACCCUCC